rnacentral:rRNA from 1 species
UCGGUUAUAAGAUCCCUCGAAGAUGACGAGGUUAAUAGGUUCGAGGUGGAAGCGUGGUGACACGUGGAGCUGACGAAUACUAAUCGAUCGAAGACUUAAUCAAUUU